GGGGUAAUGGCUCAGUGGUAGAGCACAUGCUUAACAUGCAAGAGGUCCUGGGUUCAAUCCCCACCCCA
rnacentral:tRNA from 1 species